GUUGGAUAAAUUACAGUUUGAAAUCAUGGCGCUUGGCGUAAAGUCCAGAGAAAAAAUAUAUGGAAACUCGAUUCUCUGGGAGAGGGUUAGUUUGCCACUGUGUACAAGACAAUACCAACGACACGAUAGUUGCCAUCAAGAAGGCAUCAACACAGCCCUACGAGAGAUUAAACUGCUGUAGGAGUUAAGUCACCCAAACAUUAUCGGGCUCCUUGAUGUAUUUGGGCAUAAAUUCAACAUCAGCUUGUUGUUUGACUUCAUGGAGACAGACCUAGAGGUGAUGAUUAAAGAUACCAUUCUGGUGCUGACUCCAGCCAACAUCAAAGGCUUCAUAGUGAUGACUCUACUGGGCCUGGAGUACAUGCACCACACACUGGGUUCUCAACAGGGAAGUUGAAGCACACGCCUCAAAGCACAGUCAUACAAUACACACCUUCUCAUAGGUGCUUGUGUGAGGUAAAGUUAGGCGUGAUAGACUCGUCUCCACUUCAGAAAUUAUAUUUGUAAUUGUAUUUUAUGUAAAUUAAUAAAUUUAUUUUUGCCAUAAAUCAAUAGGCCUAAAAUAUAGUUGAAGUCAGAAGUUUACACACACUUAGGUAGGAUUCAUUAAAACUUGUUUUUCAAGCACUCCACAAAUGUCUUGUUAAAAAAAUGAUAGUUUUGACAAGUCGGUUAGGACAUCUACUUUGUGCAUGACACAAGUCAUUUUUCCAACAAUUGUUUAGACAGAUUAUUUCACUUAUAAUUCACUGUUUCACAAUUCUAGUGGGUCAGAAGUUUACAUACACUAAGUUGACUGUGCCUUUAAACAGCUUAGAAAAUUCCAGAAAAUGAUGUCAUGGCGUUUGAAGCUUCUGGUAGUCUAAUUGACAUAAUUUGAGUCAAUUGGAGGUGUACCUGUGGAUGUAUUUCAAGGCCUACCUUCAAACUCAGUGCCUCUUUGCUUGACAUCAUGGGAAAACAAAAAGAAAUCAGCCAAGACCUCAGAAAAAAAAAUUGUAGACCUCCACAAGUCUGGUUCAUCCUUGGGAGUUAUUUCCAAAUGCCUGAAGGUACCACGUUCAUCUGUACAAACAAUAGUACGCAAGUAUAAACACCAUGGGACCACGCAGCUGUCAUACCGCUCAGGGAGGAGACCCGUUCUUUCUCCUAGAGAUGAACAUACUUUGGUGCAAAAAGUGCAAAUCAUUCCCAGAACAACCGCAAGGACCUUGUGAAGGUAGGGCUGCCCAUAGUUUUAGUCAAACAAAAAUCCGACAGCUUCAGCAGCCCAUUCUCAUCCAGUAGCCCAUUCUCAUCCAGCAACCCAUUCUCAUCCAGCAACCCAUUCUCAUCCAGCAGCAGGUUAUUGGGCUUCAGAUUGUACACAGUGUUUACUAUGGAGAAAUAUACCGUUGAAGUCGGACGUUUACUUACACUUUAGCCAAAUACAUCAAAACUCAGUUUUUUACAAUUCCUGACAUUUAAUCCUAGUAAAAAUGCCAUGUCUUAAGUCAGUUAGGAUCACAACUUAAUUUUAAGAAUGUGAAAUGUCAGAAUAAUAGUAGAGGGUGAUUUAUUUCAGCUUUUAUUUCUUUCAUCACAUUCCCAGUGGGUCAGAAGUUCACUUACACUCAAUUAGUAUUUGGUAGCAUUGCCUUUAAAUUGUUUAACUUGGGCAAAACGUUUAGGGUAGCCUUCCACAAGCUUCCCACAGUAAGUUGAGUGAAUUUUGCCCCAUUCCUCCUGAUAGAGCUGGUGUAACUGAGUCAGGUUUGUAGGCCUCCUUGCUCGCACACGCUUUUUCAGUUCUGCCCACACAUUUUCUAUAGGAUUGAGGUCAAGGCUUUGUGAUGGCCACUCCAAUACCUAGACUUUGUUCUCCUUAAGCCAUUUUGCCACAACUUUGGACGUAUGCUUGGGGUCAUUGUUCAUUUGGAAGACCCAUUUGCAACCAAGCUUUAACUUCCUGACUGAUGUCUUGAGAUGUUGCUUCAAUAUAUUCACAUCAUUUUCCUGCUUCAUGAUGUCAUCUAUUUUGUGAAGUGCACCAGUCCAUCCUGCAGCAAAGCACCCCCACAACAUGAUGCUGCCUCCCCCUGUGCUUCACGGAUGGGAUGGUGUUCUUCGGCUUGCAAGCAUCCCCCUUUUCCCUCCAAACAUAACGAUGGUCAUUAUGGCCAAACAGUUCUAUUUUUGUUUCAUCAGACCAGAGGACAUUUCUCCAAAAAGUACAAUCUUUGUCCCCAUGUGCAGUUGCAAAUCGUAGCCUGGCUUUUUAUGGCGGUUUUGGAGCAGUGGCUUCUUCUUUGCUGAGCGGCCUUUCAGGUUAUGUCGAUAUAGGGCUCGUUCUACUGUGGAUCUAAAUACUUUUGUACCUGUUCUCCAGCAUCUUCACUACACUCACCUGUAGGUGUCACUCUCAAACUCCAUUUCAAAGUCUUUAUUGACCAUUUAUUUAUAUAUUUUUAAAUAGCAUUUCAUGUGUCACUCACUGUGUUUGAUACAAUGUUUGCUCUCUCUCUCAGGUGGUGUCGUUCUCUAGAGUUGUUGUUCGGUGCCAGGAUGUAUGGGGAGGGCGUCGACAUGUGGGCCGUGGGCUGCGUCCUUGCGGGGCUUGUGCAGGAGGAGACUCCUGGCCUGGGAUGAGUAGUUGUUUAAAUAGUUUUCUGGUACUCUGGAACAUAUCUUCAGUGCUGCAGGAGACGACCUCUUCGAACGACUACAGGGUCUAUUCACCUUCAACCCCUCCACACGCCUUACAGCUACACAGCUCUACCCCCCCUCCCCUCCUCCCAUCUCCUCUCAACAGCCUCUGAGGGUGAGGUACAUCACUAACAGCCCCAGCACAACUCCUCAUCCGAGCCUCUCAAAGAGAAUCAAGAGGAAACGAGAUGGUCUGGAGACAAGGAAUGAACAACACACAGACACACACGCACAUCUCAGCAUUGGAGUCAAUAGCACAGACAUCAUUAUUCCAUCAUACACCAGAGCUAGAAGGUUAAAUACCUCAUUGACAUGUUUGUGUUUGACCAUGAUAUUAAUAACAACAUGGUAAAUAUUAUUCUGCUUGCUUAUUUAAACUGAUGGUUUCACUUGUACAAAGGAUUCAAUGACUGGUUUCCAAUUUUGGAUUGGGCCAGCAAGGGCCUCCCGUACCUAGAAUGCAAACAUAUUUUUGUACUGUGACCACCCUGCAUACCACUGCUGGCUUGCUUCUGAAGCUAAGCAGGGUUGGUCCUGGUCAGUCCCUGGAUGGGAGACCAGAUGCUGCUGGAAGUGGUGGUGGAGGGCCAGUAGGAGGCACUCUUUCCUCUGGUCUAAAAAAUAUCCCAAUGCCCCAGGGCAGUGAUUGGGGACACUGUCCUGUAUAGGGUGCCGUCUUUCGGAUGGGACGUUAAACGGGUGUCCUGACUCUCUGAGGUCAUUAAAGAUCCCAUGGCACUUAUCGUAAGAGUAGGGGUGUUAACCCCGGUGUCCUGGCUAAAUUCCCAAUCUGGCCCUCAAACUAUCAUGGUCACCUAAAAAUCCCCAGUUUACAAUUGGCUCAUUCAUCCCCCUCCUCUCCCCUGUAACUAUUCCCCAGGUCGUUGCUGCAAAUGAGAACGUGUUCUCAGUCAACUUACCUGGUAAAAUAACGGUAAAAUAAAAUAAAAUAAAUGUUAUCAGAAGUAACCUCGUCAAUUAAACACAAAUAUUCUCACACACUGUUAGAGUAACAUGGUCUACUCGUAUAGAACUGGAAUUCCAUUAGAAUCAGAGCCCAGUAAUUAAAAGGAUGUAGGCGGUACAAAAUAGCGCAAUGGCAACCCAGGACUAACACACACACAGGUGUAGGUGGCGGUACGUUUAACUGCAACAAAAACCGAGUGUUACUGGGAGGUUCAACGUGUGGUUUGGAAACUAUUUAGGUCGACUGGGUUGUAUAUUAUAAUAAAGAAGGACUAGGUAGCUAGAAGUUGCCCCUAAACAGUGGUCCAUGGUCAGGUUUUUUAAAAUCCUCCUAAUGGUUAAAGUUUAGUGUUGAAUAAUGUUAUUCUAGACCUGUGGUUAGUGGCAACUUCUAACUCCAGUGUGGCUUGUGUGGUCCAGUGGAAGACCUCCAGUGUGGUCUAACAGUGGUUCUGGACAGAGCUCUGUAAGAGCCUGCUAGAGCACGACUAUUUAGGUGACGAAAGAAAAAAACAGCAAGACUGUAUUUUUGUCAUUAAUUUCAUACAUUUAGAUGUAAUGUAUUUUUGUAUGUUAUUUAUUUUUUAUAUAUGUGAUGUAGGAUAAUAAAUAAUUCUGUCUGA